CAGAGAGUCAUUGAAAAUAGUGAGAAAAGUGACAAUACCAAUGCUGGUCAAAUGACAGAUCGAGAACAGGCAGAUUCUGCAGGAGAAACUCCUGGAAUGGAUUCAUAACUUCAGAAUGUAUAUUGGAAUGCUGAAUUUAUAUUGCCCAUUUGUCCUGCUUCCAAGACAUGAAAGUCUAUAUCCAACUGUUCCUUUGCUGCCUGAUAUCUCACUCUUGGGAUAACCGAGGUUAACUUUGGGAUCCAGUCCCUAGUGAUUUUGAAAAUUAACAAUGCCUCUAUAUGUGACAGUGAUGUGG